ensembl:lncRNA
GGGUGGGUCACUAUAUAUAUAUAUAUAUAUAUAUAUAUAUAUAUAUAUAUAUAUUUAUUUAUUUAUUUCUAGGCUUGAUUGUGUUCAUGGGGUGCAGCCUAACAUGUGUUAAUGCUUAAUUUAAAAAACAAACAACAACAACAACAAAAAAAAACAUUAUUUUUCACAUAAUUUACCUUUAUUUCACACCACUCUGUCCCUUCUCUGAGAAACACGCUAAUCAUUUCUUGCUUUUAUGAAGCCCCUCUCUCAGAAAUAGGUGAUGGGCUCUGAUUGGUUAGAUAGCCCAGUUUGUUGUGAUUGGCUAAACCGCCUCUAGUGCGCAUCUAAACGUCCCGCCCCUCACCUCAGCGACUUGUGCUCCGGUUGUAUUGUAAACAACGGCAUCGUUAAUAUCGUUUAUCAAUUUGAGCCUGAUUGAGAAGCAGAGGAUAUUUUUGAAGAGGAUCAUGCAGAACCUGUGCAAGCAUGGCUUUUAAUGCGCUUUGUGCUUCACCGUCAGUAUGAGUGUGUGGGAGAGUCACUUUCCAACAAGAUGGAAUGUAAAGCUUUGACCUUCUCAGCUGUGAUUUCUCAUAAAACUGUUCGGUAAGUGCUCUUUCAUCCUCCUUCUCUUUUUCUCACUCUAUGGGUUCAGUUUAUCUGUUGCUUUAAUGAUGUUCCUUUUUUUUAACAAUAUCGUUUAAGCAUUAAAUAAUACAAAUGUACAUAAAAGCACAGCCAUAAAAAGGUGAAAAACACCCUUCUAUUUCUCUCUCUCUCUUUCUCUUUCUAUUUCUCAAAUUCAAUUUCGUUUUCUCCUAUUCAGAAAGUCUGGUUCCUACUUACAACAGCAUUGGCGGCGUAUGGUCUCUUUCCAUGCUGUAUUGCUUCUGAUAUUUGAUAGGUGCCACAUUUUCUGUCUCACAUAUAUGUCAGACUGAAAGGGAUGGAUGGAGUGAUUUAUUAUGUUUUACUGAAGGAAAAUGCCAUACAUUUCAUAGUCAGAGGCUUUAUGACCAUAGGCACACAUGGGUGAUACAGGAAUCUAAUAAGCUUGCAUUAAAUAGCUUAAAUAGUACUUCUCAUGGGGUACCUUUCUAACCGCAGCUUUCAUUAAACUCUGGGAAUGUUUUUAUUGGCCACCUGCACACCGUGAUGAUGGCGUAUGAUAGAGUCUGAGUGCAUUUAAACAGACGUUUCCCAGAGGUUGUGCCGGAUUGGUGGUGCCCUUUUAUGUGACAUUUACACAGAGGAUAUAAACAAGACCGGGACAUAUAGGGAGGAUGGCAGAGAAUGAGCUUGCCAAGGAAUGAAACAGACAGGGAGGUUGAGGGAGGAAAAUGAAAGGGGAAAUGAAAAUGAACAUGGGUGCAAUGAGCUGGACUAGAAGAGUGCAGAGGCUGAAAAAAGCCCAAGUAGGAAGCAAAUAAAAGAAAGACUAACUGCCCUUCAAGAGUGGAGGAAUGGAGAGUUUAACCGGCCAAAUGAACAAGAGCUAACAACAAAUGAGCCAAUUACUGACUUUUAGGGUUGUUUAAAUCAAACACAUCACCAAUAGUGUUAGUAUACUAGUAUCCUAAAUUGUGACAUGUUCUCCUACCGCAUCAGGAUUUCCAUACACCUGAAAAUGAACCUGCACUAUUGAUCUCCUUUCAUCGAUUUCGCUGUAGGAAGGCGCUGGGGCCGCUUGCCAUUUGUAUUUACUCUCUAGUUUGCCAAUGCCCACUCAAAGGCGCAGUGGCAAUCUGCUGCCACCUCUACAAUUUAUGUGUGCUGCCUGGGUCGCCCUCUCACUUCUGAGUGAGUUGGCUUAGGUAAUUACUCCACUGCC